rnacentral:tRNA from 1 species
GUCCUUGUCGAUUAGUGGUUAGAUCAUCACGUUGUGGUAACACAAAUCCGUGAAGACGGAGGCUCGAAUCCUCCCUGGGACA